UACGUAGGGUGCAAGCGUUGUCCGGAAUUAUUGGGCGUAAAGAGCUUGUAGGCGGUUUGUCGCGUCUGCUGUGAAAUUUCGGGGCUCAACCCCGAACUUGCAGUGGGUACGGGCAGACUAGAGUGUGGUAGGGGAGACUGGAAUUCCUGGUGUAGCGGUGAAAUGCGCAGAUAUCAGGAGGAACACCGAUGGCGAAGGCAGGUCUCUGGGCCAUAACUGACACUGAGGAACGAAAGCUAGGGGAGCGAAUGGG
rnacentral:rRNA from 1 species